rnacentral:ncRNA from 1 species
GGUCAUGAGCGCCAGCACCGAGCCCCAGCUAGCUGGCCGGCAACCCUCCACCGCGGUGGGGUGCCCUGGGUGAAGACCAGGCUCCUCGCGCCCGGCGAGCGAGCAAGCGCGGGUC